UCAGCUUUGGCAUAGUAGCUAGUGCAUCAGUCUUGCAAGCUGAAGGUCCUGAGUCUGAUCCUCAGAAGGAGGG
rnacentral:tRNA from 1 species